rnacentral:rRNA from 1 species
GGUGAGUAACACGUGGGUAACCUGCCCAUCAGAGGGGGAUAACAUUCGGAAACGGAUGCUAAAACCGCAUAGGUCCUUUAACCGCAUGGUUGAAGGAGGAAGAGAGGCGCAAGCUUCUGCUGAUGGAUGGACCCGCGGUGCAUUAGCUAGUUGGUGAGGUAACGGCUCACCAAGGCCGUGAUGCAUAGCCGACCUGAGAGGGUGAUCGGCCACAUUGGGACUGAGACACGGCCCAAACUCCUACGGGAGGCAGCAGUAGGGAAUCUUCCGCAAUGGACGCAAGUCUGACGGAGCAACGCCGCGUGAGUGAAGAAGGUUUUCGGAUCGUAAAACUCUGUUGUUAGAGAAGAACAAGUGCUAGAGUAACUGUUAGCGCCUUGACGGUAUCUAACCAGAAAGCCACGGCUAACUACGUGCCAGCAGCCGCGGUAAUACGUAUGUGGCAAGCGUUGUCCGGAUUUAUUGGGCGUAAAGCGAGCGCAGGCGGUUCCUUAAGUCUGAUGUGAAAGCCCC